UACAUGGGGUGCAAACGUUGCUCGGAAUUAUUGGGCGUAAAGCGCACGUAGGCGGUUCGUUAAGUCGGAUGUGAAAGCCCUCGGCUCAACUGAGGAAGUGCACCCGAAACUGGCGAGCUUGAGUCCGGGAGAGGUGAGUGGAACUGCGAGUGUAGAGGUGAAAUUCGUAGAUAUUCGCAAGAACACCAGUGGCGAAGGCGGCUCACUGGCCCGGUACUGACGCUGAGGUGCGAAAGCGUGGGGAGCAAACAGG
rnacentral:rRNA from 1 species